AUGAUUCUGGCUUCAUAUCUUUCAGUUUUUCUGGCUGUUGCUGUAAUUUGUUCUUUCAUGAUUUCCACAGCUUCUUCAAUUUUUCUGGUGUUCAGCCAGUACUUUCGGAUCAGGUAUUGCUUGAUUUUGUCAUUCUUCAGUUUCUUCUCUUUCAUAUUUUUCAGGUUACUUGCAUCUGAUCUAAGUUUCUUGAUUUUCAACUCUAUUAUUUAUUAUUAUUAUUAUUAUGGCUAUGGCCAUAAAAUUGUUCUGAAGCAAAUAUCUCAUUGUUCCUAGCUGCCAGAUUUGGGGAAUUAAUCUCUCUCCCUGUCUUGAUCUAUACUGCAGGCUUUGCUGUAGAUCUCAGUGCCUGGCCGUACUCCCGUAAACCAUUUCAUAACCAACGUCCCAGUGACGGCAUCCUUCAUUUUGGAUGCAGCCACCUUUCCUCCCAGUUUGUAAUCAACUCCCGUGGGCUGUUUUUAAGAUAUAUCGAAUUCCUGCCGUUUUCUCUUUAAGAAACAAAGCACAGUGAAUAAUGCAGUGCUGGAAAGGCUUUGGAGGCUUAGUUCUGCCAGAGCAGAGGUCUAAAAGGAAAUCUAUAAUGGGCUCCUUGGAGUCUCCUAAAUGAAGCUUACGUCUCUUUGUGAUGCAAUGAAUGGCCUGUGAGUCAUCUUGCUGUAUGGCCACACAUACUGAAGGGAAGAGGGACAGUUCUGGAAAAUGCAGGGCUGCAGGAAUAUCUGUCAUGGUUAUCCUUUGGGUAAGAAAAUAAUCCCAUUAGCGGAGGAGGGGAGCCGGGGUUUGGAGGGACGCCAUGCCUCAAACGGGCCCUUUGUAUCCCACCUCUUCCCUUCUGGAGCUUGCAAAGCACAGGCCUUGGCACAAACAACCCUGAAAUACUCAUCAUGAAAUAUUGAUACCGCCCGAAAUCACAGACCUUAUGAAAUAAUUUUGGGGGAGGUAGGCGGGUGGCUGGGUUACAGUUGGAGGGGAACAGGUUUUGUAACUGUCUCUGGCACUAAUAAAGCCUCGCACUGAAAAUGAGUCAUUCUCGAAGAAAUCUGGCAUGGCCUGAUUAUGUAACCCAAAACUUGAUAAAGAAGGAACAGAUUGAGCAUCAGAAAACGCAACACGGCUCGGCUUCCGAGGGUGACUUUUCGUCGCAGGCCUAUUCCUCACACGCUUAACUCCGCGACGUGUUUUAAUUUCCCCGAACCCCCGAGGAAUUGGCUGCCUCUGUGUUUCCUCCUCUUCUUUGACCUUGCUGUAGUUUAUUAAUUUAACUUAGAUUGCUUUCUUUAAAAUUUAAAAAAAAAAAGCGGCGGCGGCUUGUUUUCAAAUCGAGAAACAGCGACCGAAUCUGUGUUCCCAUCAUUAUAGAUAAUGUAGUCGCGGCCGUUGCGGCAUUCGGGCGUAACUACAUUUGGCAUCAGGGAGACGGGGGGGGGGGGGGGCUCUUAUGGGAGCGAGGACGGAAUCCAUAAUCAUGCAAGAUGUUUACUUCUCAGGCCUUUCUCCUCCUCCUCUUCCUCCUCCUUCUCUGGCUGUCUCAGGUUCCCAUCAGCAUUCAUUCUCAAGAUUGUAGGUGCCGUUUUGCACUGUCUCGGUUUCUCCCGUAUUCCCAUCACUUCUCUGUUUUCCAUACAGUCAUUGGCUUGUGUGUAUAUAGCUGGCUUUCAAUACUCUUGGCUUUGAGAAAGGAAUAACCAUUUCCUAUAUCCCACCUGAGCUAUUCUUGGUUGAGAGCAGCACCUAACAUUUUACUGAUGGUGUCAGACAAAGCGUUUUAAUUUCUCUAAUACGGUAAAGAUUUCCCCUGACGUUAAGUCCAGUCGUGUCCGACUCUGGGUGUUGGUGCUCAUCUCCAUUUCUCAGCCGAAGAGUCGGCGUUGUCCGUAGACACCUCCAAGGUCACGUGGCCAUUGGCAUGACUGCAUGGAGCGUUGUCUACCUUUACCUAUUGAUCUACUCAACAUUUGUAUGUUUUCGAACUGCUAGGUUGGCAGAAGCUGGGGCUAACAGCAGGAGCUCACCCCACUCCCCGGAUUCGAACCGCCAACCUUUCGUUCAGCAAGUUCAGCGGCUCAGCAGUUUAGCCCGCUGCACCAUUGGGGGCUCCAAUUUCUAUAUACAGUAGAGUCUCACUUAUCCAAGCUAAACGGGCCGGCAGAAGCUUGGAUAAGCGAAUAACUUGGAUAAUAAGGAGGGAUUAAGGAAAAGCCUAUUAAACAUCAAAUUAGGUUAUGAUUUUACAAAUUAAGCACCAAAACAUCAUGUUAUACAACAAAUUGGACAGAAAAGGUAGUUCAAUACGCAGUAAUGUUAUGAUGUAAUUACUGUAUUUACGAAUUUAGCACCAAAAUAUCAUGAUAUAUUGAAAACAUUUGACUACAAAAAAGGCUUGGAUUAUCCAGAGGCUUGGAUAAGCGAGGCUUGGAUUAGUGAGACUCUACUGUAUAUAAAAGAGUGAUGGCAUCACGGCGACCCACAAAACAGCAAAACUACAGGCCCCCCAACCUCGAAAUUUGACAACACAACCCAUCAUCCACGGCUCUAGGUUGAUACAACAAAAAGAAAAGAAAAAUAAAGUCCUAAUUAGAGAGAGAGGAAUAAUUGCUUUUAUCCAAUUGCUGCCAGUUAGAAGGCUAAGCUCCUCCAACUUGGUCUCCUAGCAACCCAAUAAAAAAUAAUAAAAAACACUAAAAAAUAAUUUAAAACACUAAAAAUUAAUACAAUAAAAUACGAUAAUAACAGAAAAUAACUAAAAAUAAUACAAGAAAAUAAUAAAAUAUAAUAAAUAAAAAGAUAACUUACAAUAAAAUUAAUUAAAAAAUACAAAUAACGUCAAAUAAAAAUCACACAACAAUUUUUAACCAAUACCACCACCACUUUGCCACAGCAAUGCGUGGCCGGGCACAGCUAGUCUCUAUCUAAAAGAAAUGCACACAUUUGUGAGAUGUCGCAGUGGCGCAGUGGGUUAAACCGCUGAGCUGCUGAACUUGCUGACCAGAAGGUUGGUGGUUCGAAUCUGCAGGAUGGGGUGAGCUCCCCGUUAGCCCCAGCUUCUGCUAACGUAGCAGUUUGAAAAUAU
rnacentral:lncRNA from 1 species